rnacentral:tRNA from 1 species
GCCCCUUUAGUUAAAUGGAUAUAAUAAACCCCUCCUAAGGGUUAGUUGCAAGUUCGAUUCUUGCAGGGGGCGCCA